rnacentral:rRNA from 1 species
GGCGAACGCUGGCGGCGUGCUUAACACAUGCAAGUCGAACGGAAAGGCCCUGCUCUUGUGGGGUGCUCGAGUGGCGAACGGGUGAGUAACACGUGAGUAACAUGCCCUUGACUUUGGGAUAACUUCAGGAAACUGGGGCUAAUACCGGAUAGGAGCUCCUGCUGCAUGGUGGGGGUUGGAAAGUUUCGGCGGUUGGGGAUGGACUCGCGGCUUAUCAGCUUGUUUGUGGGGUAGUGGCUUACCAAGGCUUUGACGGGUAGCCGGCCUGACAGGGGGACCGGCCACAGUGGGACUGAGAUACGGACCAGACUCCUACGGGAGGCAGCAGUGGGGAAUAUUGCAGAAUGGGCGGAAGCCUGAUGCAGCAACGCCGCGUGCGGGAUGACGGCCUUCGGGUUGUAAACCGCUUUCGCCUGUGACGAAGCGUGAGUGACGGUAAUGGGUAAAGAAGCACCGGCUAACUACGUG